rnacentral:rRNA from 1 species
GACGAACGCUGGCGGCGUGCUUAACACAUGCAAGUCGAACGGAAAGGCCCUGCUUUUGUGGGGUGCUCGAGUGGCGAACGGGUGAGUAACACGUGAGUAACCUGCCCUUGACUUUGGGAUAACUUCAGGAAACUGGGGCUAAUACCGGAUAGGAGCUCCUGCUGCAUGGUGGGGGUUGGAAAGUUUCGGCGGUUGGGGAUGGACUCGCGGCUUAUCAGCUUGUUGGUGGGGUAGUGGCUUACCAAGGCUUUGACGGGAAGCCGGCCUGAGAGGGUGACCGGCCACAUUGGGACUGAGAUACGGCCCAGACUCCUACGGGAGGCAGCAGUGGGGAAUAUUGCACAAUGGGCGGAAGCCCGAUGCAGCAACGCCGCGUGCGGGAUGACGGCCUUCGGGUUGUAAACCGCUUUCGCCUGUGACGAAGCGUGAGUGACGGUAAUGGGUAAAGAAGCACCGGCUAACUACGUG